CUAACGAGGAUUUCCUUAGUAACGGCGAGUGAAAAGGAAAAAGCCCAACGCUGAAUCCAAUAGACAUUUGGUGCUAUAUGGAAAUGUAGCGUAUAGGUAUAACUAUCCGUAACAUAUUUUUGCACCCAAAGUCCCCUUGAGCGGGGCUACAGUCCAUAGAAGGUGCUAGACCUGUACGGGUGAAAAAAGUUAUGGUAGGUUAUUCCUUGGAGUCGGGUUGUUUGAGAUUGCAGCCCAAAGAGGGUGGUAAACCUCAUCUAAGGCUAAAUACGACCACGAGACCGAUAGCAAACAAGUACCGUGAGGGAAAGUUGCAAAGAACUUUGAAGAGAGAGUUCAAGAGGGCGUGAAACCGCUGAGAUGGAAACGGAUAGAGUUAACGAAACUUAUCGGUAUUCAACCGAUCAAUUUAGCAAUCUUAUUUGAUUUAUUAUUCAUUUUUUCAAUAAAAUGAAUAAAAUGAUAUAUAAGAUAGAAGUGCUAAAUUUGUUAUGAUUGGUGUAUUUACCGAUAGUAUGCAUCGAAAGCUUCGUUUUAGCAUAUUAAUACAAUUUUUAUUUAGUGGACCAAUUUUUCGUAUGAUAAUUGGAAUCCUAAAUAUGUUGAAAUAUGUCUUAAAUGAAGUUUAUUAAAAAAUGAUGUAACUUUCACUUGAAAUAAUAGUGACAUGCAUUGAUUAUAAUUUUGCUAAUUACAUUUACAUGUGGUCGCAUGCGACUUAUCGGUAAAUGUUGAUUGAAAAAAAGAAAAAAUUAGUAAUUUUAUAAUAUUAUAUGCAACAAAAAAGUUACAUUUCGAUGUGAACGUUAAUCACCUAUCUGACCCGUCUUGAAACACGGACCAAGGAGU
rnacentral:rRNA from 1 species